AAAGUCGUAACAAGGUUUCCGUAGGUGAACCUGCGGAAGGAUCAAUGCGAGAUAUGUGGAGGGAGACGUUGGAAUGUGAGAGAGAUGAAAGACAUGUAUUUUGAAAUAUUAAAAAAGACUUGCCACCCGGGAUCUCUGGGCUCUU
rnacentral:misc_RNA from 1 species